rnacentral:rRNA from 1 species
UACGUAGGGGGCAAGCGUUGUCCGGAAUCAUUGGGCGUAAAGCGCGUGUAGGCGGCUAGAUAAGUCUGCUCUGAAAGCCCGGGGCUCAACCCCGGGAGGCGGGUGGAUACUGUCUAGCUCGAGUCCGGAAGAGGAGUGUGGAAUUCCUGGUGUAGCGGUGAAAUGCGCAGAUAUCAGGAGGAACACCAAUGGCGAAGGCAGCACUCUGGGACGUGACUGACACUGAGACGCGAAAGCGUGGGGAGCAAACAGG